GGGAAUUUUCCGCAAUGGGCGAAAGCCUGACGGAGCAAUGCCGCGUGGAGGUGGAAGGCCUACGGGUCGUCAACUCCUUUUCUCGGAGAAGAAACAAUGACGGUAUCUGAGGAAUAAGCAUCGGCUAACUCUGUGCCAG
rnacentral:rRNA from 1 species